rnacentral:rRNA from 1 species
UACGGAGGGUGCAAGCGUUAUCCGGAUUCACUGGGCUUAAAGGGUGCGUAGGUGGGCAGGUAAGUCAGUGGUGAAAUCCCCAAGCUUAACUUGGGAACUGCCAUUGAUACUAUUUGUCUUGAAUACCGUGGAGGUGAGCGGAAUAUGUCAUGUAGCGGUGAAAUGCUUAGAUAUGACAUAGAACACCAAUUGCGAAGGCAGCUUGCUACGCGGAUAUUGACACUGAUGCACGAAAGCGUGGGGAUCAAACAGG